UUUCUCUGAGUGUGGGUUACAGCAUGAUAUUAAAUAUAAUGCAAAAAAGAGCAACAUCAUGAUUGUCAAGAGCAAAGAAGAUACUAAAUUAUCUUUUCCUGACUUCACCCUGUCUGGCAGCAUCCUCCAGGUCACUGAUGAGGUCAGA